AUUGAACGCUGGCGGCAGGAUUAACACAUGCAAGUCGAGCGGAGAUGAGGUGCUUGCACCUUAUCUUAGCGGCGGACGGGUGAGUAAUGCUUAGGAAUCUGCCUAUUAGUGGGGGACAACAUUCCGAAAGGAAUGCUAAUACCGCAUACGCCCUACGGGGGAAAGCAGGGGAUCUUCGGACCUUGCGCUAAUAGAUGAGCCUAAGUCGGAUUAGCUAGUUGGUGGGGUAAAGGCCUACCAAGGCGACGAUCUGUAGCGGGUCUGAGAGGAUGAUCCGCCACCCUGGGACUGAGACACGGCCCAGACUCCUACGGGAGGCAGCAGUGGGGAAUAUUGGACAAUGGGGGGAACCCUGAUCCAGCCAUGCCGCGUGUGUGAAGAAGGCCUUUUGGUUGUAAAGCACUUUAAGCGAGGAGGAGGCUACCGAGACUAAUACUCUUGGAUAGUGGACGUUACUCGCAGAAUAAGCACCGGCUAACUCUGUGCCAGCCGCCGCAGUAACAC
rnacentral:rRNA from 1 species